UUGUCCCUGCGGUGUUCGUGACUUGGCCAUAUUCUCUGAACCGAUGCUUUUAUGGCAUAGGUUGUAAGGGCGUCCGGUAGGUGCGAUCGUCUCUUGUCAGACGAACCCGAAGCCAGACCACGAGCGACCAACUUGAACUCUCUGGGUUCGAGAUGCCGGCCUGGACGGCACACGCGGGGCAUUC
rnacentral:other from 2 species